CGUACAGAAAUGUUUAUGGUGGGCUUGU
rnacentral:piRNA from 1 species